CGUCAGCUCGUGUUGUGAAAUGUUGGGUUAAGUCCCGCAACGAGCGCAACCCUUAUCCUUUGUUGCCAGCGGUCCGGCCGGGAACUCAAAGGAGACUGCCAGUGAUAAACUGGAGGAAGGUGGGGAUGACGUCAAGUCAUCAUGGCCCUUACGACCAGGGCUACACACGUGCUACAAUGGCGCAUACAAAGAGAAGCGACCUCGCGAGAGCAAGCGGACCUCAUAAAGUGCGUCGUAGUCCGGAUUGGAGUCUGCAACUCGACUCCAUGAAGUCGGAAUCGCUAGUAAUCGUGGAUCAGAAUGCCACGGUGAAUACGUUCCCGGGCCUUGUACACACCGCCCGUCACACCAUGGGAGUGGGUUGCAAAAGAAGUAGGUAGCUUAACCUUCGGGAGGGCGCUUACCACUUUGUGAUUCAUGACUGGGGUGAAGUCGUAACAAGGUAACCGUAGGGGAACCUGCGGUUGGAUCACCUCCUUACCUUAAAGAAGC
rnacentral:rRNA from 1 species